ensembl:lncRNA
CUGCUGCUGUCACCUGCUGCUGUCACCUGCUGCUGUCACCAUCCCUCCGUGCUCAGAGCCCGUGUUUCCUUGUGGUGGCCGCUGCCCGCUGGUUGGCAUGGCUGUGUGCUGGAGGCAGGAAUGUGGGCAGCACUGCGUGCACAGCCUGUGGGACGAGAAGCUGGGUGACUCGGUGCUGUUGGGAAUGGCUGCUCGGGAUGUCUGAGACGUGGAUAGUUUGCUCUUCGUGGGCUGCAGGCUUUUAGCCAAGAGGUGGUGUCAUUUGGCAGUGCUCGGGUUAGGCUCGUCCUUCUGUCGGCCCGACGCCGUUAGCAUCCUCUGAACUCCAGCAAUUUCAUCCUCCUCUCAGAGAGAAGUGAAGCCGUUUAGGCGAGAGGGAGCCAAGCCUUGUGUGCUUUGCAAGCCUCACUUGAGAGAGGGUCAAAAUCUCUUUGUUCUCAUUCCAAUCUUCAGCUGUCCUUGGGAUUUGUUGUAGAGGACUGCGGGGGGAGAACCCUCCUCCUGGGGCUCAGCCCCCUCCCAUCUGCCCCCACAGCGGCGCUCAGGCCUGGUUCACUGAGGUCCCACGAGGGAAGGGGUUGGUGGGAAGCUCUUCUCUCCGCGCCGCAAUGACCUGGGAAAGGAUCUGUGUGAAUGAUGGGACCCAAACUUCCACCCCAGCCCUGCGGAUGCUGAAGGCUGUGCAGUGUGCUGCUCUCAGUGUGCAGGCUGGGGGUCCUUCCAGCUGCUGCCCUUAGAUGUGUCCAUGUAGUUACCAAAUAAUCUAUCAGAAGUCCUUUCAAGGCUCUCCCCUUUCCAUCGCUGUGUGACAGCUCGUGGCAUCCCUGCUGGGGAACAAACAGCUCCUGAGCCCCCUGUCUCCUUGUGCCAGCCCUGGGGGGGCUCGGGGGCAGAGGGGAGAUGGGAGCAGUGCAAUACCUACAGACUGACGUGCCUCUGGGCUGAGAGCAGGAGGCUCCAGAACGCCCCAAAUCCAACUCGGCCGAACCCCACCUGCCUUGGCAUCUGUUGGGGGGGAGGGGGGCAGGCAGGGCUUCCCAAGCUGCCGCUUACAGAUGGUGUAAGCCAUCACCAGGAGCUGAGGUGGAGGCUCUGCUCCUUCCCCGAGCAGCCCGGUGAGCGGACUGUGCCGGCUGCAGUCAGCCCGGAUCUCACAGCGCGUUCAUUCCGGGAGCCGUCCUCCUUCGGGGGCUUUGUGAGACAGCCGUGCUGCGUGCGAUCAGCCGGGGCGGGGGGCGAUGUGCCGCACGGGGGGCUGGAGGAGCCUUCCCUGGGGGAGUCCCCAUCCCACCCACACAGCCCUGUGUCAGUGCUGGGGAGCGGCGUGUAACGAAUGUAUGCGGAUGGGAUGGGAUGGGACGGGACGGGACGCAGCCGGGGCUGUUAUCACAGCUCUUCUUUGGGGGGUGACGACGCCGUGGGCGUGUUUUUGGUUUUGUUUUUUUUUGUUUAUUUCAUUUCCUCGUUUGUUGUUUGGGGUUGCUCGUUGCUGUUGUUGCUGCUGUUGUUCCCCUCUUUGGGGAAAACCGUUUUGUUUUUGUUUUGUUUUCUUUUCUUUUGUUUUGUUUUUUCUCUUUUCUUUCUCCUUUUUUCCUUCCGGAGAUCUGUACGUCGGCGCGAUGUGUCCUCGGCUCUGUGAUAAAGCGUUCUCGAUGUGCUGCACACAC